rnacentral:rRNA from 1 species
AGUGAACGCUGGCGGUAGGCCUAACACAUGCAAGUCGAACGGCAGCACAGUAAGAGCUUGCUCUUACGGGUGGCGGGUGGCGGACGGGUGAGGAAUACAUCGGAAUCUACUUUUUCGUGGGGGAUAACGUAGGGAAACUUACGCUAAUACCGCAUACGACCUACGGGUGAAAGCAUGGGAUCUUCGGACCUUGCGCGAUUGAAUGAGCCGAUGUCGGAUUAGCUAGUUGGCGGGGUAAAGGCCCACCAAGGCGACGAUCCGUAGCUGGUCUGAGAGGAUGAUCAGCCACACUGGAACUGGGACACGGUCCAGACUCCUACGGGAGGCAGCAGUGGGGAAUAUUGAACAAUGGGCGCAAGCCUGAUCCAGCCAUACCGCGUGGGUGAAGAGGGCCUUCGGGUUGUAAAGCCCUUUUGUGGGGAAAGAAAGGCAGCAGGUUAAUACCCCGCUGUUCUGACGGUACCCAAAGAAUAAGCACCGGCUAACUUCGU